GACGAACGCUGGCGGCGUGCCUAAUACAUGCAAGUAGAACGCUGAAGGAGGAGCUUGCUUCUCUGGAUGAGUUGCGAACGGGUGAGUAACGCGUAGGUAACCUGCCUGGUAGCGGGGGAUAACUAUUGGAAACGAUAGCUAAUACCGCAUAACAGUAGAUGUUGCAUGACAUUUGCUUAAAAGGUGCAAUUGCAUCACUACCAGAUGGACCUGCGUUGUAUUAGCUAGUUGGUGGGGUAACGGCUCACCAAGGCGACGAUACAUAGCCGACCUGAGAGGGUGAUCGGCCACACUGGGACUGAGACACGGCCCAGACUCCUACGGGAGGCAGCAGUAGGGAAUCUUCGGCAAUGGACGGAAGUCUGACCGAGCAACGCCGCGUGAGUGAAGAAGGUUUUCGGAUCGUAAAGCUCUGUUGUAAGAGAAGGACGAGUGUGAGAGUGGAAAGUUCACACUGUGACG
rnacentral:rRNA from 1 species